GAUGAACGCUGGCGGCGUGCCUAACACAUGCAAGUCGAGCGAUCUUCUUCGGAAGAGAGCGGCGGACGGGUGAGUAACGCGUGGGUAACCUGCCCUGUACACACGGAUAACAUACCGAAAGGUAUGCUAAUACGAGAUAAUAUGCUUUUAUCGCCUGAUAGAAGGAUCAAAGCUCCGGCGGUACAGGAUGGACCCGCGUCUGAUUAGCUAGUUGGUAAGGUAACGGCUUACCAAGGCGACGAUCAGUAGCCGACCUGAGAGGGUGAUCGGCCACAUUGGAACUGAGACACGGUCCAAACUCCUACGGGAGGCAGCAGUGGGGAAUAUUGCACAAUGGGCGAAAGCCUGAUGCAGCAACGCCGCGUGAGCGAUGAAGGCCUUCGGGUCGUAAAGCUCUGUCCUCAAGGAAGAUAAUGACGGUACUUGAGGAGGAAGCCCCGGCUAACUACGUGCCAGCCGCCGCAGUAACAC
rnacentral:rRNA from 1 species